rnacentral:piRNA from 2 species
GGAAUUUCAGCCUAAAGCAGCCAACCAGAGU